GACGAACGCUGGCGGCGUGCCUAACACAUGCAAGUCGAGCGAUGAAGCCCUUCGGGGUGGAUUAGCGGCGGACGGGUGAGUAACACGUGGGUAACCUGCCUCAAAGAGGGGGAUAGCCUCCCGAAAGGGAGAUUAAUACCGCAUAACAUUGGUUUUUCGCAUGGAGAACCAAUUAAAGGAGUAAUCCGCUUUGAGAUGGACCCGCGGCGCAUUAGCUAGUUGGUGAGGUAACUGCUCACCAAGGCGACGAUGCGUAGCCGACCUGAGAGGGUGAUCGGCCACAUUGGAACUGAGACACGGUCCAGACUCCUACGGGAGGCAGCAGUGGGGAAUAUUGCACAAUGGGCGAAAGCCUGAUGCAGCAACGCCGCGUGAGUGAUGAAGGCCUUCGGGUUGUAAAGCUCUGUCUUUGGGGACGAUAAUGACGGUACCCAAGGAGGAAGCCACGGCUAACUACGUGCGAGCCGCCGCAGUAA
rnacentral:rRNA from 1 species